rnacentral:rRNA from 1 species
CCUACGGGCGUCUGCAGUGAGGAAUAUUGGUCAAUGGGCUUACGCCUGAACCAGCCAAGUCGCGUGAGUGAAGACUGCCCUAUGGUUUUUCAACCUCUUUUGUCAGGUAGCAACACCGGCUACGUGUAGCCGGCCUGAGAGUACCUGAAGAAAAAGCCUCGGCUAACUCCGUGCCAGCAGCCGCGGUAAUACGGAGGAUGCGAGCGUUAUCCGGAUUUAUUGGGUUUAAAGGGUGCGUAGGCGGUUUGAUAAGUUAGAGGUGAAAUGUCGGGGCUCAACCCCGAAACUGCCUCUAAUACUGUUGGACUAGAGAAUAGUUGCGGUAGGCGGAAUGUAUGGUGUAGCGGUGAAAUGCUUAGAGAUCAUACAGAACACCGAUUGCGAAGGCAGCUUACCAAACUAUAUCUGACGUUGAGGCACGAAAGCGUGGGUAGCAAACAGGAUUAGAUACCCUGGUAGUC